UACGAAGGUGGCAAGCGUUACUCGGAAUUACUAGGCGUAAAGGGCAGGUAGGUGGUUUGGUAAGUCUAUUGUGAAAGCUCCCGGCUUAACUGGGAGAGGCCAAUGGAUACUGCCAAGCUUGAGUAUAGGAGAGGUUACUGGAAUUCCCGGUGUAGCGGUGAAAUGCGCAGAUAUCGGGAAGAACACCCGUGGCGAAGGCGGCUCUCUGGGACGGUACUGACGCUGAGACGCGAAAGCGUGGGGAGCGAACAGG
rnacentral:rRNA from 1 species